rnacentral:lncRNA from 1 species
GAGCCUUAUUUCAAUACAUACAUAUUUCUCUGUUUUCUCCUUAAGGGCUCUCAGAUACAGUUUCUUUUGCAUGCUUCAUCUUUGGCCUACCUUCAAAAGAAAACAAACAAACAACAAAAAAAAAAACAUAGAGUGCCCACUGAGAACUGAUUGUGUGAAGUUUCAAGCAUCACCUAUCAAUCCUGUUUGAUUUCCACCUCAAUUUUCAUUCACAUCAAUAAGCCAUAAUGAAGGAAAAUCUUAAAAUAAAAAAUGUUCCUGACAGCGAACCAUUGAACUGAGAAGACCCAAACCUGUGGAGCAUAGUAAGGAUAAGUAAAAGAUGAAUCUUGCCCAAUAUCAUACAAAUUUGAAGAAAACUAGGGCUACACUGGAUGUGCAGAUGGAAGACUCGGCUGUGUGGUUGUUCUGGGCUCAUUCGGAAGUCUCGGCUGUACUUGAGCUGUAGGCCCAGACAGAUGUCUCAGUUGCGCAUGUGCUCUUGACUCAGAUCAAAGUCUCAGCCUCCUGUGAGCUCUUGGCACACACAGAUGUCUUGGCCGUGGGUUCGCUCAUGGCUCAGAUGGAAGUCUUUGCCAUGCAGGUGCUCUCAGUGCAGAGUGUAGGUAGCACAGAACACAGAAGCUUUGCUUGCGGGUGACCAGACCAAGCUCUGGACACGGCCAAACUUCACCCCAGAACCAACCACUUUACCAAACACCCUACACAUGUAACAGAUGGAAUCCAUUUUGGAAAACCUUACUCACCAUCUAUCAGUUGCCAUGGCUACCAGCUCAGUUCUGUGGCUGCUCGGGUACCAGGAUUCCAACUCCCCUACCUCCAACUGUGAUAACUCAAGAUUUUUCUCACAAGCUUUUGAGAGGCAUAGCUAUGGAUGUGGAACAGCAACUGUACAGGUACCUGGUUUACAACUCAGAGACUAAGAGAAGGGAGGCUCCAGGUAGAAGCUCAAGCCCUCUCAAACUGGCUACCUCCACCACCCUUAGCACAGACACUCAUGCUAGGAAUAGACAACUCUACCUACUGCAAGAAAACAGAGUUCUAAGAGACUUUUCUAUUCUUGCGCUUCUCAACCAUUCUUCUCUACCCUUCUCCCUCUGGUCCUCACAAUCUCUACACACGUGAAACCAAGAACAUUGCAUGAAACUGGAGUUUAAGAACUAAAUCACCAGAAUAGUUUAAUAUAGAGGAAUUGCAUAGGCCCUCCUCACCCCCCUUUAUUUUCUCAUUUUCUCUUAUUUUCUUUCUCCCUUACUUUCUUUAUUUUAUUCUUCUUUUUUUCCUCCCUCUAUCCCACUUUCAACCUCCUUACUUUUACUAUUUAUACAUAGGGUAAUUUUACGAAUACAGAUAAGGAAUUUGAAUUUAUAUAUUCUUCCAUAAAUUACCGCUGUCUAUUCAUUACAGUUCUCCUCCAAUUUGCUAAGAUGGAUUAAUCUCAUACCCUCAAUCCUUUCCCACUUAUAAUAGCAUCCUACACCUGACCCUCUGUUCUUUAUAUGAAAUGGUAUGCCUUUUAUAAAACUAAUGACUAUAUUCUAAAUAAUAAUUGAAGCCAACAUCUGUAGACAUAGUGUCUAAAUAUAAAUGUAUUUAUAAUUAUUAGGAUAAGGCUUUGGGUUACGGUUAGAUUUAGAGUUAGGAUUUGAUCUAUGGUUAGGUCUAUGCCUAAGCAUAGGGCAAGGGUUAGGACUAGGGUUAGGGCUAAGGUUAAGGUUAUGGUAAGGUAUAGGUUUAGAACUAGUGAUAGGGCUAGUGUGAGAGUUAGAGUUAGUCUUAUGGCUUCUGCUAGGGUUAUUGUUAGGGCUAAAUUAGGGCUAGGGUUAGUGUUAGGUUUAGACCACAGUUUAGGUUUAGAGUUAGGGUUAUGUUUAGGGUAAAAGAAUGGGUUAUUGUUGGUUGAGGUCUAGGGCGAGGUUUAAUAUUAGGGUUAGGGUUAGGGUUAUGAUUAUGGCUAGGCUUAGGGCUAGAAUGAGGGCUAGUUUUUUUUGGUUAGGUUUAGGG